rnacentral:lncRNA from 10 species
AAGGCUGGUAGGAUGGGCUGGCCUGAGGAUGGCCCUGCCUGACAGAUUAAGUGGUGGCAAGACCCUUCCUAAGUUCCUCACUCCUUCUGUGGUCAAUGUCUUCCAUUUCCCGGAGUUUCUGCAAAGGGCAUCAGGGAAAGCAGGUGUAUCAGGGCUAGGAACCUGAGGAGCUGUCACAGCAGUGAGCUAGAGCCUGACCCCUGAACCCUGCCACAGCAGACCCUGUAUUUCCAUUCGCACUUGGCGCUGGGCCCUUCCCCUCCCCACUUUCCUGGUUGUUUCUCCUACCUGGGAGAUUUCAGCAAGGAUGAUUCCUCGGUACUGUUUGCCCUGUCCCAGGGCCUCCAUGUCAGCCAGGAAUUCUUUCCUCUCCUGGAUUUCCUUCACCACUGGACAGAGGAGAGGGCUGUCAGGUUCCCAUGAGGGAUGCAGGCAGCGGGUUGCCUCUCUUGAGGAGAGGAAGUGGUUCUAUUGUCAAAUAGUGUUUCUAGGCCGGGCGCGGUGGCUCACGCCUAUAAUCCCAGCACUUUGGGAGGCCAAGGCAGGUGGAUCACGAGGUCAGGAGUUCGAGACCAGCCUGACCAACAUGGUGAAACCCCGUGUCUACUAAAAAUACAAAAAUUAGCCAGGCAUGGUGGCGGGCGCUGGUAAUCCCAGCUACUCAGGUGGCUGAGGCAGGAGGGAUUGCUUGAACCUGGGAAGUGGAGGCUGCAGUGAGCCCAGAUCACGCCACUGCACUCUAGCCUGGGCAAUAAGAGCAAGACUGUCUCAAAAUAAAUAAAUAAAUAAAUAAAUAGUGUUUCUCACUUGUUGGCCCUUGGCCCUCAGGGAUCCCCUGACUGCUCCAUCCAAUUCUGGGCCCCCUCCUCACAUUACCCCCACCCCCAGCAUGACUGGUCCGUCGGAGUCUUACGCUCUUCAAAUCGGUCUAGCUCAGGGGCUGGAGCCUUCUGUCGUGCAGGAGGGGCCUUUCUUUUCCGUUCCUCCAUGUCCUUCCCUGUGGCAAAGAUAUUUUGGAGUCUUUGUUUCUCCUUCUCCAAAUCCCCUGUAGGGCCAAAAAGAAAUGGCCUAGUUAGGCUGUAAAGGGUGCCCUUAUUCAUGGUCUGUGUUCCCAAGUGCACGUGCUUGCUGCAGGGUGCCUGGUCAUGCAGACAGGGCUUCCGUACACCUGCUGCUACCCUGGGUUCUCCUGAGCAAUACUGUACUGUCAAGAGAGGCAGGAAGAGGUGGAAAGAACCAAGAAAAGAGUUUGGGUAUGGUCUGUAAUUCCAACACUUUGGGAGGCUGAGGUGGGAGGAUUGCUUAGGACCAGGAGUUCAAGACCAGCCUAAUGGAUGUAGUGAGACCCCCAUCUCUUUUUUUCUUCUUUUUUUUUUUUUUUUUUGAGACAAGGUCUGACUCUGUCGCCCAGACUGGAGUGCAGUGAUACAAUUUCGGCUCACUGCAACCUCUCGGGCUCAAGUCAUCCUCCCACCUCAGCCUCCCGAGUAGCUGGGACUACAGGUGGACGUCAUCGUGCCCAGCUAAUUUUUGUAUUUUUUUUUUUUUAGUAGAGAUGGAGUUUUGCCAUGUUGCCCAGGCUGGUCUCAAACACAUGAGCUCAAACGAUCUGCCAGCCUCGGCCUCCCAAAGUGCUGGAAUUACAGGCAUGAGCCAUCACGCCUGACCGAUAUCCUAUCUCUAAAAAAAAAAAAAAAAAAAAAGUCCAGGCACGGUGGCUCACACCUGUAAUCCUAGCACUUUGGGAGGCUGAGGCAGGCAAAUCAUGAGGUCAGGAGUUCGAGACCAGCCCAGCCAACAUGGUGAAACCCCAUCUCUACUAAAAAUACAAAAAAUUAGCUGGGCAUGGGCCGGGCGCGGUAGCUCAUGCCUGUAAUCCCAGCACUUUGGGAGGCCGAGGUGGGCGGAUCACGAGGUCAGGAGAUCAAGACCAUCCUGGCUAACACGGUGAGACCCCACCUCUACUAAAAAUACAAAAAAAUUAGCCCGGCGUGAUGGCAGGUGCCUGUAGUCCCAGCUACUCGGGAGGCUGAGGCAGGAGAAUGGCGUGAACCUGGGAGGUGGAGCUUGCAGUGAGCCGAGAUGGUGCCACUGCACUCCAGCCUGGGCGACAGAGCAAGACUCAGUCUCAAAAAAAAAAAAAAUUAGCUGGGCAGGGCAUGGUGAUGGUGCCUGUAAUCCUAGCUACUUGGGAGGCUGAGGCAUGAGAAUUGCCUGAACCCAGGAGGUGGAGGUUGCAGUGAGCCGAGAUCGUGCCACUGUACUCCAGCCUGGGUGACAGCGCGAGACUCCGUCUCAAAAAAAGCUGGGUGUGGGGAACACCUGUGGUCCCAGCUAUUCUGGAGACUGAGGCAGGAGGAUUGCUUGAGCUCAGGAGUUCUGGCUGCAGUGAGCUAUGAUCAUGCCACUGUAUUACAGAAUGGGUGACAGAAUGAGAGCGACACUGUCUCAAAAAAAAAAAAAAAAAAAGGCCGGGAGCGGUCGUUUGUGCCUGUAAUCCCAACACUUUGGGAGGCCAGGGUGGGCGGAUCACUUGAGGCCAGGAGUUCAAGACCAGCCUGGCCAACAUGGUGAAUCCCCAUCUCUACUAAAAAAAUUAACUGGACAUGGUGGUGGACACUUGUAAUCCCAGCUACUCAGGAGGCUGACACAUGAGAAUUGCUUGAACCCGGGAGGCGGAGGUUACAGUGAGCCGAGAUAGCACCACUGCACUCCAACCUGGGCACAGAGUAAGGCUCUGUCUUUAAAAAAAAAAAAAAAAAAAAAGUUUUGUCAAAACUUAGCAGAGCAAGGCUAAGAAAGCUCAGGAACCUGGGGCCUCGGCGAUGCCUGUAGUGGCAACUUAUGUAUAGGGGCUGCAGGGAGAGGUUAGGCUGUGGCAUUGAGCCCUGAUAGCCCCUAUCAUCAGGAAGUGGUAGAUUUCAGUUAAUCCUGAGUUCUGGAAAAAUAAAAAAAAAAGGACCAUCUGACUGGUUUCCUCUGCGCCCUGAAUACCCCUAAGCCAACAUGUGCUGAGGCUCAAGAGCAUUGGUACAAAGUGCAUGGGGAUUUGAUUAGCUACCUUCCCACCUGCCCUGUGGGCUGCUUGCGUCCCUCUCCCUUGUCCUCCCCCAGGGAGAUGGAGAAAGGCCCUAGCUGAGACCCUCACUUACUGGUGGCUUGAGGCUUGAACUGCUCCCGGCUGUAGGCCCCAUUGGCUUGACACAUGUUGGCAGGCCGGAGGUGGGGACGGGCUGCGAGGAUGGGAGGCAGGUAGAUGGGCGAGGCUAUUUGCUUGGAAGGUAAGACUCUCUGGCUGGAUGUUGGGCUGCACUGUAGGGGCAAAGCAUCUCCUCCUGGGGAACGAAGAGUUGGGGUGGGAGGACCCACAUGG